rnacentral:rRNA from 1 species
CAGCGCCACGGUAAUACAGAGGGUGCAAGCGUUAAUCGGAAUUACUGGGCGUAAAGCGCGCGUAGGUGGUUCGCCAAGUUGGAUGUGAAAUCCCCGGGCUCAACCUGGGAACUGCAUCCAAAACUGGCGAGCUAGAGUAUGGUAGAGGGUGGUGGAAUUUCCUGUGUAGCGGUGAAAUGCGUAGAUAUAGGAAGGAACAUCAGUGGCGAAGGCGACCACCUGGACUGAUACUGACACUGAGGUGCGAAAGCGUGGGGAGCAAACAGGAUUAGAUACCCCCGUAGUCCCUGUCUCUUAUACA